CUACCUUACAAUUUGCUGUCAUCCUCCAGCUCCAGCUCCAGCUCCAGCCCUGUUGAAGCAGACCAGACGCUCCUCUGGCACUGCGAGCAGGAGGGAAGGGGGAGUGGCUACUCUGCACACAGACAGCCAGUCUGCCCUCUUGUGGCCGGGAGAGCAAGAAUCAGGAAAUAUUUUUCCUGUCUUGUUGGUCGCAACCACAGCUGAAAGUGGCCCAAGGCUGAAAGUGGCCCACUGAGACAUUGUGAUACAUAGGGGACACUGUAGACUUGAUAAAGACUUGGGUACAGGUCAAAAUAAACCUGCUUAUAUCUAUCACAGUGAGUGUCUGAGAUUUUUUUUAUUUUAUACUAGGGGACACUGAG